rnacentral:lncRNA from 1 species
GUCACAGCUCCGGGUGGAGGUGGGAGGGGGCACAGGGAGAAGCAGAGAAGGGUGGGGGUCCACUGAUUCUGAUAUCCUAUAAAUCUUUCAGAAAACAAAACUGAAGGAAACAUGGUAAAAUGAUGACUAGGGCUGGGAGUACAUUACCUUCCUCUCUGUCCUUUUCUGUGUAUUUGAAAUAUUUCACUUUCACAAUGAAAGGGGAAGGAAAGCAUAAUGGCUUGGAAUUGGACAAGGUCAACCCUCAGUUUCUUCUGUACAAUGGGGCAAUCCAUAAUCCCCUUGGGGAAAGUUUAUUGAGAAUUACAUGAGGGGAUUCCUGCAAAGUGCUGAGUAUGAGCCCUAGGCUCAACAAAAGGGUCUAUGGGGCUCCCCUCUUCCUAAGCCACCCUGGGAGAAGGGAGGACUUGCUAGGAUAGGGGGGCCAGGGUGGGAAGGUCCUCAGCCCACAGCUCCAUUAGGCCAAUGGCCUAGGCUGGCCUGGGUGGGAAGGCUUGUGUUUCUGACAAAUGGGGCCAGCCAACCACUUGCCCUGCCUGUCCCGUCCUGUCCUGACUGUCCUGUCCCCGGGGCCAGGGUCACUCCAGGUGAGGCUCAGGGCCAGCGUACCAGCUGGAUACAGGCCGGCAAGUCACCUGGCCUCGGAUUCCAGGUGGCUAGAUCCUCAGGAAGCCUCUGUGGGUGACAAGGACACACAGGGAUGGUUUUACCUCACUUCUUGCCGGAUAAGAGGAGGCCAUGGGAAAGCACCAAGCAAGAGGAGCCUCCUCAGUCACCCCAGGACCCAGUCAUCACCCACCCACCAAGAGGUCUGGCUGCGUCUCCCAGCAGCCCUACUGGGGGAGACAUUUCUCUCCUUUUUUAUUUUUCUAAAGAUUUUAUUGAUUUAUUCAUGAGAGACACAGAGAGAGGAUGGGGGAGGGGGCAGAGAGAGAAGCAGGCUCCAUGCAGCGAGCCCGACGUGGGACUCAAUUCUGGAUCUCCAGGAUCACACCCUGGGCUGAAGGCGGCACUAAACCACUGAGCCACCCAGGCUGCCCAUCUCUCCUUUAUUAGAUGAGGUACCCAGGGUACACGGGCACCCCAUAUUUCAUGCACACGAUUACACCGUGGGGCUGGGCACCCUGAGUCUGGACAUCUGGGUGAAUGCACUUGAAGCUCAGCUUCUGGGUGCAGCAGCCUCCUGGGCAGGCAGAAGCAGCCCCUCCUCCCAUACCUGAGGAAUCUAACCUUUCCUGCUGAAGAUUCCUAACACCCUUGCCUGAAGCGACCCUCAUGCAGGCUCCCCCCAGCACCACCCUGGAAUGAAGGUCAGAUUUCAGCAUGCCCCAGGUGCUCAGAAGUCAAGGUUGACCCUGGAGAAAAUAGCUUAUCCUCCAAAUGAAAAACAAAUGUUGCUAAUUUCUAUCAAUAAAAAACGAACCCAGGGGCUCUGGGUGGAGAAGAGGUCUGGGGUGUUAGGCUCAACGGGGUGGACUGUGAUCCUGUAGGGGGGGGGGCUAGAUUUAUGGGUAUGAGCAACAGAGGGAUAAGAGGAAGGGGUCCAAAGAGAGUGACUUAUGUGUAACCUGCACGGCUUUGAGAAAUAUAUUGGUAGGGCAGCAGCCUCAUCCAUGUGAGGCUAACUUCUGUGGGCUGGCAUCAGGGGGUGAUAUUCCCCUGAGGUGGGCUCCUGAUCUCAGGGGGCUGAUGGCACCUCUAGUGGCAGAGGCUGAGCUGGGACUCUUAAGUAUUAGAGGCCAAGUGGGCAAAUUACACAGAGAUGGAGGUGUUUCCACAAAGUACUGACCUGCAGGAGUUUUUGAUGGAAGCUAACCAGAUCGUGGUGUUCUUAGGAAUGAAGAGCUGGGCGCCACUACCUUUUCACUUGAACGAUAUAAUGAGAAAACCUGAGGUCUGCAGGACGGAAACCCGAAUGGAACCCCCAUAGUGUAGAAUCUCUAGGCUUGAGGCGUUAUUUAAGGCAGUAAUAAAGUUAAUGCAUAUAUUGGUUACUGAAUCAACACAUUUAUACUUUCAACUUGUUAACAACUGUAAUCAAAAAAGUUUCCUUUGUAAUACAUGCAUUUUACUUCAUGAAUUUAAAAGCAUCAUUCAGGGACGCCUGGGUGGUUCACUGGUUGAUUGUCUGCCUUCAGCUCAGGGCGUGAUCCCAGGAUCUGGUAUCUAGUCCCACAUCCAGCUACCUGUGAGGAGCCUGCUUCUCCCUCUGCCUGUGUCUCUCCCUCUGUGUGUGUGUGUGUUUCUCAUGAUAAAUAAAUCUUUAAAGAUAAAUAAAUAAAAGCAUCAUUCAGGGGCGCCUGGGUGGCUUAGUUGGUUAAGUGUCUGCCUUUGGCUCAGGUCAUGAUCCCAGGGUCCUGGGAUCAAGCCCCCCAUCAGGCUCCCCACUCAGCAGGAAGUCUGCUUCUCCCUCUCCCCCUCUCCCCUGCUUUGAUCCAAUUCUUUCUCUCUCGAAUAAGUAAGUAAAAUCUUUUUAAAAAAUAAAAGCAUCAUUCCAGGGAUGCCUGGGUAAUACAAUGGGUUAAGCAUCUGACUCUUGGUUUUAGCUUGGGUUGUGAUUGGGUUGUCAAGACCCCAGUCAACCUCCGAGUUCAGUGGGGAGUCUGCUUGAGACUAUCUUUCCCUCUCCCUCUGCCCCUCCCGCUUGUGUUCUCACUCUCUCUAAAAUAAAUAAAUAAAUCAUUAAAAAAAGCACACAUCAUUCUGACCAAGUGUCUGUCCAUGGUGAAUGGAUAAAUGAGUACAUGCAAUGACAUAUAAUUCCACUUUCCAAAGAAAGGGAAUUUUGACACAUGCUAGGACACGGAUGAACUUUGAGGACAUUAUGCUGAGUGAAUAAGCCGGCCAAAAAAGGACAAAUACUGUGUGACUGCACUCGAAUGACAUACCUAAAGUCAUUAAACUCAGAAACAGAAAGUACAAGGGUGAUUACCAGGGGGGUUGGGGGAAAGGAGAAUUUAAAGGGUACAGAGUUUCAGAUUUGCCGAGUGAGAGUUCUGGAGUGCUGUUUCACAACAGAGUGAAUACUUACUAAACUCCAAAGUUAAAAUUGUUUACGAUGGGAAAUUUCAUGUUGCGCUUUUUACAAUUUUAAAAAGGCAGCAUGCAGUAAAAACGCAACUUAAAGGCUUCAACAUUUUUUUUAAAAAUCAUGAUUCUGAGAAGUGGUCCCUGUUACCCUCGGAUGCUAAAAGCGACCGCAAGGUCCCCGGCACCCGAAAGGUUAAGAGUCCCGGCGGCUCUAAUUGGCCGACCGUAGCAGGAAUUCCGGAGGCGACCAGGGAUUGUGGGAAGCGUAGUUUGCAGCCCCCCAGCCCGAGCCUCACGGUGAAGGGUGGGCUUGGAGCCCGGAGACAAUGGCGGGCUGGCGGGGAAUUCGCGGGAAGCCCGCUCGGCGCGCCUGUGCCCACGCUGCGCACGGGCAGCCUAGCACACAGCCACGCGAUCACGCACACACCUGCCCACUUGCACCACGCAGCACGUGGCGCUCCCGGUUUGCAGUUUGCAGCGUUUCCAAUCCAACUGCCCAUCCGAGCACCUGCGGGUGAGGCUGGCAGCUGCCCCGUGGCUCUUCUCUGACGCAUCCCCGCAGGAGCAGAUGCCUCGACAGUGGCCGUGGGAAGGCUGUGCGGGCUACAGGUGCCCGGGGAGGAGUGUGCCAGUCAGAGGGCACAAGCUAGUGCAAAGGCCCUGAGGCAGGGGUUUACGGGGCCACCAGGGUGGCUGGGAGAGAACCGCAGGGGAUAAGGUGGGCUUGGCCUCGUUGGCCACGAUGCGACCUGUAGACAAGACCCGGGCGGGUCUUCAGGUGAGCGCGGGGCCGCUGCCUAGGGAAUGGAAGGAUUCUCAUUGUUCCCUCUGGGGCUGCCGCUGCAGCCUCGGAAGUGACUCAGCGGAAUUCCCGGGAGCUGGGGGCGGGUGGGAGGAUGCUCCAAAGGGGCUGGGGAGGGGCGUUGCCCGCGCGGAGGCCCCACCCCCAAGCUCUCGCGGGCCGCGGAGCAUCCCCGCGCCCAAGUGCUCCACCCACCCGCC